rnacentral:rRNA from 1 species
GACGAACGCUGGCGGCGUGCCUAAUACAUGCAAGUUGAGCGCUGAAGGUUGGUACUUGUACCAACUGGAUGAGCAGCGAACGGGUGAGUAACGCGUGGGGAAUCUGCCUUUGAGCGGGGGACAACAUUUGGAAACGAAUGCUAAUACCGCAUAAAAACUUUAAACACAAGUUUUAAGUUUGAAAGAUGCAAUUGCAUCACUCAAAGAUGAUCCCGCGUUGUAUUAGCUAGUUGGUGAGGUAAAGGCUCACCAAGGCGAUGAUACAUAGCCGACCUGAGAGGGUGAUCGGCCACAUUGGGACUGAGACACGGCCCAAACGCCUACGGGAGGCAGCAGUAGGGAAUCUUCGGCAAUGGACGAAAGUCUGACCGAGCAACGCCGCGUGAGUGAAGAAGGGUGUCGGAUCGUAAAACUCUGUUGGUAGAGAAGAACGUUGGUGAGAGUGGAAAGCUCAUCAAGUGACGGUAACUACCCAGAAAGGGACGGCUAACUACGUG